GGUUGUGGGGUGGUUAUGGGGUGGUUAUGGGGUGGUUGUGGGGUGGUUGUGGGGUGGUUAUGGGGUGGUUAUGGGGUGGUUGUGGGGUGGCUGCUGAGAUGAAGCGGUAGUUGGGUGAUGGAUGGGUGGGUUGGUUAGCUGGUUAGCGGGGCAAUGGGUGGGUUGGUUAACCGGUCAAUGGGUUGGUUAGCUGCUCAGUGGGGCCAUGGGUUGGUUAGCUGGUUAGUGGGGUAAUGGGUGGGUUGGUUAGCUGGUUAGCAGGGCCAUGGGUGGGUUAACCGGUCAAUGGGUUGGUUGGUUAGCUGGUUAGUGGGGCAAUGGGUUGGUUAGCUGGUUAGUAGGGUAAUGGGUGGGUUGGUUAACUGGUCAGUAGGUUGGUUGGUUAGCUGGUUAGCGGGGCCAUGGGUGGGUUAGUGGGGCAAUGGGUUGGUUGGUUAACUGGUCUAUGGGUUGGUUGGUUAGCUGGUUAGUGGGGCAAUGGGUUGGUUAGCUGGUCAAUGGGCAGGUUGGUUAGCUGGUUAGCGGGGCCAGGGGUGGGUUGGUUAACUGGUCAAUGGGUUGGUUGGUUAGCUGGUUAAUGGGGCAAUGGGUGGGUUGGUUGGUUAGCGGGGCCAUGGGUGGGUUAGUGGGGCAAUGGGUUGGUUGGUUAGCUGGUCAGUGGUUGGUUAACUGGUUAGCGGGGCAAUGGAUGGGUUGGUUAGCUGGUCAGUGGGUUCAUAGGUUAGCUGGUUAGCUGGGCAAUGAGUUGGUUGGUUAGCUGGUCAGUGGGUUGGCUGGUUAACCAGUCAAUGGGUUGGCUGGUUAGCUGGUUAGCUGAUCAAUGGGUUGGUUGGUUAACCAGUCAGUGGGUUGGUAGGUUAGCUGGUCAGCUGGUCAAUGGGUUGGUUGGUUAGCUGGGCAGCGGGUUAGUUAGCCAGUCAGUGGGUUGGUUGGUUAGCUGGUUAGCUGGGCAAUGGGUUGGUUAGCUGGUCAGUAGGUUGGCUGGUGAGCUGGGCAAUGGGUUGGUUAGCUGGUCAAUGGGCGGGUUGGUUAGCUGGGCAGCGGGUUAGUUAGCUAGCAGCGUGGUUAAUGAGUUAAUGAGUUAACGAGCUGAGCGCUGAGUUGGUGAGCUGGUUAGUUAGGCGGCUGGUUAGCUGGUUACAUGGGGGGUUAGCAGUGCAAUGGGUGGAUCGGUUAACUGGUCAGUGGGUUGGUUGGUUAGCUGGUUAGCGAGUCGGACGGGUUGGUUAGCUGGUUGGUUAGUCGGGUGGGCAGUGGUCAGCUGGUUGGCUGCUUAGCUGGUUGGAUGGGUCGCUGGUUAGCUGGUUGAGAGGGUAGUUAGCUGGUGGGGGGGGGGGUUAACCAGGCAGUUAGCUGGUUAAGUGCUUAACUGGGUGGGUGGGUGGGUUGGUUAGCUGGUUGGGUGGGGGGCGGUUAACCAGUUGGGGGGUUGGUUAACCAGUUGGAUGGGUAGUUAGCUGGUCAGGUGGGUAGUUAGCUGGUUGGAUGGGUGGUUAGCUGGUUGGAUGG
ensembl:lncRNA